CUUUCUCCCGUUAUAUUUCCGACAACCAAUGGAAUUAAGGGCAUAAUCGGGUGAUAGGUUUCAGCCUUCUAUCCAUUGUUCUGUCGCUCAUUCUCAAUCAACGAAUUUUCUUGCAGUGUAAUGCUAACGGAAUUGGUGGGGCUUCCUUACAGAAAUCAUUUCCUUGCAAAAGAUAGCGAUCAGGAAAGGGAGAAACCUUGCAACAACAGGAAGUUGAUAAGAUUCCCAGUUCCUGAAUUUGGAAAUAACUCCAUUGACAGAUGAAUUAAGUGUUAUGAAUGAAUGAAAGCCUCGAGGGCCAUGAGCACUUCAACGAGUCCAGGAUCUUUGGCACAGUUGGAAGCAUAUAUUCACGUGGCCUAGAGGGCUGAGUACGGAUGAACRAACUGCCAUACAGUCUUGUUAGCAAUGAACUGACUUCACUCGUUUAUACUAAAGGCUAAUAAAAUUAUUUAAUUAAUAUAAA